rnacentral:lncRNA from 1 species
AGCAAGUGUUAUGGUUUGGGUCUAGAUGCCCCCCUAUCCCCAAAGCCUCGUGCAGUCACAGGCAGGGCUUUUUCAGAGGUGGCCAGAUCUAGAGUGUGGGAUCCUGGGAUUAAGGGUGUGUGGUUACUAAAUCGGUUCACUGAUUGGCUUGACACUGCCCUAAUCCUGGUAGCCUAGACAGAGUAUAAAAGGAGCAGAAAGAAGCUGCAGAGGUCCCUUGCUUGCUUUAUUAUCUUCUGCCUGCCAUAAACUGUUUCUCCUCCACAAUACUUAUCUGUCAUGAAACCCUGUCUUGGAGCCAGCUCAUUAUGGACUUGAAACCUCUACAAACUGCUUUGAUCUCUCUGGCUCUGUCUGCUGGUCAGUGUGAAGGCCGAGGAGUAUUGGAGUCUGGUGCAAAAUUAAACUCCUGAGAAUCUGCACCCAUUUACACCUCAGCUUAGCAGGCAUGAGCAAAUAUGAGCAAACACCACAUGACAGGAAACACUUUGAUCUUCAGGAUUCAGAUUACUGCUUCCACUCCAGAAGACCAAGACACUAAGCUACCGAUCCAAGAUCACCAGUUAAUCAUCAGGAAAUCCAGGACUUGUAUCUGUAUCUAUUUGACUCAAACAUAUGCCUUUUUAGGAUUAGAGGAAAGUUAUUUAGUUACUUACAAUUUUAACUUUUAAACCAUGUGAUUAUAUUGUUACCUACAUGAUAAUAAAUAUAAUUAAAAUAAAACUGAAGCUCUCAGACUUUCUGGCAAAGAACCUGUUUGAGAAUCAUAUAUACAGUGCCUCAUUGGAAUAUAAAUAUUCCCCAUUGGACAUCUUAUAGAUUUAAGUUUUUGUAUGUUUCUUGAUUUUCUUAGUAAUGUGGGGUUAUGUUAUGUUCUUUUAUGAUUUCUUGUGUUUAUUUGGUUGUUACUUUUGUGUAUUUGUUCUUUCAUUGGCUCUGAUUCAAUAGGUGUCUAAGUUCUCUCCGUUUCUGCUCCCUAUCUAGUUUCUUCACCUCAAACCCCUUUUUUUUUUACUUUCUUUUUCAAGGUAAUUGAAUCUGGAAUGUGUGAUUAAGGGGGUUAAGGGCCUGUGAUUAUUAAAACACUGCACAUGAGUGACUAGUUUGGCACUCCUGUGAUCCCAGUAGUCAGAAUAAGAUAAAAGGGGCAGAAAGAUGCUGUUAAACCUCCUUGUUGCCUUUACUGUCUUGUGUGCACUGUAUUGUUUCUCCUCAGUGACGCUGUUUGCCAUUCAUGUCUUGGAGCCAGCUGAUUAUGGACUGAAACUUCCACGAACUAUGAGCCAAAUAAGCCCCUUCCCCUUUAACUUGGGUGUCAGGUAUUUUGUCUCAGCAACGAGAGAAAAGUAACUAACAUGGGGAAGAUUGAGGAACAAUACUAGAGAAGAUAGGAGUGACUUCAAGGGAGCUAAGUAUGGGGAAUUUAAAAACUGGGGAGGAAGAUUUUACAAGUUUGGAAAAAGAAAGUCCCACUUCAUCUGCAAGAGGCUUUGGGGGGCAUCUAAACACAGUCACAAUGCUCCCCAUCCUAAGGCUUUGGCUCUUUGUAGCUCACCUAGCUUACUCUCCUAUCAGCAAGUUCUGACAACCACAUAGCUUUCCUCAAUUUCAAAGUGAAUCCCCUUUCUCCCAUAUCUCGCCCUUCCCCCAACAAAAUAUCCUCUGAAAACUCUUAAUAUUCACCCAAGUCAACUAAAAGUACUCCAAUAAAAUCAGACCCCGGAUCAACCUUACCUUCUUAUCUACCACUAUUCCCCCUCCAAACCUCCCCCUACUCAUCCAACCACCUCUUAUUCUCCUUACUCCACCUCACCUACCUGAUUGCAGAGCAACCACAAAUAAUAAACUGUCAUAGAGGGCAUGGAGAACAGACAAAGGGGAGAAGAGUAAGUGCAGGGACUAUCAUAUAGAAGUGCUAUAAGAUUGAAUCUAUGGAUGCUGUUGUAGUAAGUAUUCUUUUGGCAAAACAUAGGGACAGAAUUGAAAUUACUUAAAAUAAAUAACAGAAGGAACAACAGUAGCUCUGGAAGUACAAAGCUGAAACUUACUCACAGGGAGGCAACAUAUAAGCCACAAACUCUCCUCACUCCUUUAGUCCCCAACCUGCAAUAACCUCCCCUCCAAAAAAAAAAAGAGGGGGCCAUAUGUAUUUUUUUAAAAUAAUAUGAUAUCUUUUCAACCGAUGAUGUUACUCUCACAUGGGGGACCCUAGAGAAUGUCACAUAUCACAGAAAACCCCCUACACUUCUGGUGCUUAGAGAAGAAAUUGAAAAUGCGUGUGCAGCCAUCUCAAUGACCAAGCUUACCCAACCAGUAGUGCACCAUACUAAUAAAUGUCCGGAAGCUAAUGGCCAUCACUUUGAGCACCUCUCGUAAUUGUAGAGGUCAAAAGUACCUUGUGUUACUCUCAUGAUGUCUCAAUUAAUUUGCUAUUAAAAUAUUUAUACAAGUUUUUUUUUCCUGAAGUGUCUAUACAUUUUUUGGCAGUCUCUGUAUAUGAACAAAUAAACACAGAUACACAGAGGAGAAUGAGGAAG